rnacentral:lncRNA from 1 species
GAGUAUGUCCUUUUCACCUUUGUGGUAUCGAGGUAAGUUCGUAUGUAAACAAUACCAUGCUAUACAUGUAUUUAAAUGUUAUCAUUACAUGAAUUGUACAGAUAUUAAUGUGUAUGUGAUUAAUAGAAAUAUGAUAAGACAAAGCCUUAAUAGACGAGGAAAAAUCCCGUUUGAACCUUAGGAAUAGAAUAGGAUACGAGUGACAUGUCACUAGGAAUUAUGAGUCUAGAUGACUAGCUCGAGAGUGAGCAUUGAAAUGUCAUGAGAUAUGAGGUAGCUUUAGCUACAAUUGAGGCACUUAUGUGCAAAGUCUUUUCUGAGUAUCCAAUUAGUAUUCCAAGUGUUCAACGGGCAAUCCAAGGAAAGAGUUGAUGAUGGUCCCAAUGAGGUAAGUCAUUGGUGAGUAUGCACUCGAGUUAUGUUACGAGUUGUGCAAGUAUGUAUACUAAUCCUAUGAGAAAGCCUUGAUAUGUGAUGAUCUAUGAUGCAUAAUAUGUGUUCUUACCAUGAUGGAUAAAAUGGUGUUGUAUUAAUAUUAUGAACAAUGACCAUGAAUGAGUAACUUAGCCUUGACAGAUUUGAGUUACUGCAGUAGUGUAACUUUGAAAAUACACUAAAAAUAGUGUAAAAUGAGUUAGAGGCAGAACAAAAUAUCGGAUUAAAGAUUAAUGAGUCUAUUUUCACAUGAAAGAAAUAGAGGAAGAAAAAUAAUUCUAUAUUGUGUGAUAUUUAAAUUCAUGUGAAACAGGGUCUGAAUGAAUUUGAGAUCCCCUAUUCUGAUUUUAUAAAUUCACCGUAAACUGUACAAAAAUUAUUAAGAGUCAUACCUUACCUGUAUAGAUUCCUUAUUAAGUCUAUUUUUAAGCGAAAUAAACGGCAUGGUCAUUGGAAUUCUUUACAUAGAGAAAUUCGAUUCGUAGUGCACAGGGGUCAGAGUAGUCAUACCAUGAAACAGGGGAAACUUUAACUAAUAAAAUGUACUAAAUGGCUUGACCAAAAACUCUAGAAAAAAAUUAGUUAGUAGACAUAUGAGUCUAGUUUCAAGAGAAAUAGACGAAAACAUUAUUCGAAUCCUGUACUAUGAGAUAAUUGAACUUUAGUGCAAAAGGGUUGAAACUGUCAGAUAGUGAAUCAGGAGCAAACUUGAGAAAUAAAUUGUACUAAUUGGCCAAGUCAAAAAUUCUGGAAAUUUUAUGAAAUAAAUAAAAAUGAGUCUAGUUUCAGGUAAAAUUAACAAAACUUAAUUUGGAGUUUCGUAGCUCCAGAUAUAAAUAAUUUAGUGACUGUUGCUCAGGAAGACAGCUUGUAGUGAACUUGAGAAUAUGUUGUAAACAUUGAUAAAACAAGUUAAUGAGUUGCUUAUUGUUUUCAUAUGAACUUACUAAGCGAAAGCUUACCCCCUUUCUUUCCCAUGUUUUCUAGAGUUUCCAGGUUAGCUCGGGUUGGAGGCCGUCAGAGAUAUUAUCACCCUAUCGAGUUAACGUUAUCGGAGUAAGUAAACUCAAGUGAUUCGAGUCUAUGGCAUGUAUAGGGUUUUAAUGUGAGUAUGUAAUAUUAUGAUUUAGCCAAAGGCAUUGGCUUGUUAUUAAGGUAGUAUUAGUCAUGUAAAUUGGCCUAUGUCGGCUAAUGACGUUAUGGGCCCAUAUGAUUAUUCUUAUGCAUGUAUGUUAUUAUCUCUUGUGAUGUGGCUUACAACAUGUAUGCCUAGAGAUUGAAUUGAGAUUCAUUGAUGAGCUAGUAACUAAUGCAGGAUUAAGUGAUUGGUAAAUAGUUAAUAAUUCUUCAUGUGUAACGCCCCGUACCCAAGACCGUUGCCGGAGUCGAACACGAGGUGUUAACGGGCUUAAUUCAUUACUUAAACAGCUCAUACAAUUCAUUUUAAAAUUUCCAGACAAGCUGACUAACUGCAUCAUAGUCGCUUUAAAAAUCAUAUCUCGAGUUCCGAAACUCGAAAUCCAAUUCUGUAAAUUUUUCCUGAAACUAGACUCAUAUAUCUAUCUAUUAAUUGUUUUCUAGAAUUUUUGGUUGGGCCAAUUAGUAAAUUUUAUUAGUUAAAGUCUCCCCUGUUUCAGGGUUCGACUACUCUGACCUCUGUGUAUUUCGAAUCAGAUAUCUCCCUGUACAGAGCUUCAAUGACUAUUCCAUUUGUCUCUAAUAAAAAUAGACUCAAUAAUGAAUCUCUACAUAUAAAGCAUGACUUCUAAUUAUCUUUGUAAAAUUUAUGGUGAAUUUCCAAAGUCAGAACAGGGGAUCCAGAAACUGCUCUGGCCCUGUUUCACAAAAAUUUAAACAUCUCAUAAAAUAUAGCUCAUAUACCUAUUUCACUUCUUCCAUAUGAAAAUAGACUCGUCAAGCUUCGAUUCCAUAACUUAUUCAUUAUUUAAUUCCAUUUAUACCAUUUUUAGUGAUUUUUCAAAUUCAUAUCAUUGCUGCAGCAAUAUUCUGUUUUAAGGCAAAUUUCAUCUUUUCAUGAGUUGUUAUAAACUAGAUAACCUAUUAAACUUCCAUGAUAUCAAACAUGAUCUAAAUUUAACCAUCACCAUGACUUAUCAAUAUCAAACAUUUUCUCAACCAAUCAUGGCCAUAUCAUAAAAUUAUUUACACAAAAUAAAUAUAUUGCUAUACAUGCCAUACUUAAGUUUUACAAGCCAUUUACCCAGAUGAAAGUCCUUUGGAUAGUGUGAUCGAACCUUCGACCCGUCCCGAUUCCCGUGCUGGCUUGUUCAAAACUACAAGGAAUGAAAAGGAGGGAGUAAGCAUAAAUCCUUAGUAAGUUCACAUGCAAAUAGCAAGUAACAUAACUAUAUAAGCAAACAUAAAACAUCAUUUGCAUAAUCAUCACCGAGACAUUCAUAUCACAUUUUCAUUUAUCAUCUUACCAUAUUGUUGUUAUAUUGAGUUUUCAACCCGAGGGUUAAGUACAUACCUGUUCAAAGUAUUCAUUUCACAACACUUACCAAUACGUCCCUUUCAUCUUGAUUAUUCCUCCAUUUCAGUAGAACUUUACCCGUUGAACACAUCGGAAUAUAAUUAGGAUACAUGGAAAGUUUGCACAUAAGUGCCACAUAUGUAGCCAAGCUACCAUGUAACCCGCCCAUAAGCGAACUCGGACUCAACUCAACGAGCUCGGGUGUUCGCAUCCAUAAGUGAACUCGGACUCAACUCAACGAGCUCGGAUGCCUAGUUACAUCUCUCGAACUCGGACUCAACUCAACAAGUUCGGACAUUCGCAUCCAUAAGUGAACUCGGACUCAACUCAACGAGUUCGGAUGCCCAAACAUCCUAGUGACAUGUCACUUGUAUCCUAACCCAUUCCUAAGGUUCAACGGGACCUUUUUCCCAAUCAUGUGUCUCAACCAUCUCCUACGGAAUGUCGAUACCGAUACUCGGUAGUAUUUCACAUUUUAUUUUCCAAGUAUAUCACAUAAUUUGACAUAUUAUCAAACAAUUGUCACAAGUAUGAUAUUUCAUAAUAAUUAUCAUAUCAUUUAAAUAACAUAAAAACAUUUAAAAUAAUAACUAUGUUACCAACAUUUACAUAUGAACUUACCUCGUAUGCGAAAAUGGCUACUUUUACCAUUUCGUCCACAACUUGGUAUUUUCCCCAUUUUAGCUCGAAUUUCAGUUUUCCUUACUAAUCGAGCUUGGAAGCUUGAAAAACCCUAGCCAUAGUUUCUCCUUGCUACAUUCGGCCAUGGGGUUGAAGAUGAGCAAAAUUGGCUUUUAAUUUUGUAUUUUAAUUCAUUUUACCCCUAAAUGACCAAAAUGCCCUUACUACUAAACUUUCUAAAAAUUCCAUCCAUGUCCAAUUUUUGUCCAUAGACUUAGAAAUUGGUAAAAUUUCUAUUUAAGACCUCCUAAUUAAUAUUUCAAAACAAUUUCAUACUAGAAACUUCUAGAAUGCAAGUUUUGAAAAUUAUUCGAUUUAGUCCCUAAUUUCAAUUUAAGCACUUUAUGCAUAAAAUUUCUUCACUAAAUUUUCACACAAUCAUGCAAUCAUAUCAUAGACCUUAAAAUAAUCAUAAAAUAAUUAUUUCUAUCUCAAAUUUUGUGGUCACGAAACUACUAUUCCGACUAGGCCCAAAAUCAGGAUAUUACAUCAUGAAUGGUUUGUGAUGUAAUGAUAGUUAUGUCUAGUAUGUGGUAAUGAUAUGGGAAAAUUCUAUAAUAUUUAUUGCAUAAGAAAAUAACUUGAGCAGAACAUGUUUAUAGAUGUUUAAGAGCUCAUUUAUGCCACGUUGUAUGUUAUUGGAUAAGUAUGUAUCUAUGCAUGUGGUGUGAGAGUGACAAAAGGCUUGAUAAUUAGCCUAUUUCUGGCCACACGGCCUGAGCACAUGGGCGUGUGAAGCCUUAACGCAAGAGAUUUUUCUAAGUUUUUCAUGAGUUCUCGAUUGGGUCCCGAACCGCCCCGAAUGCAUGUAUUGGGCCUCGUAAGCUCGCAUAAGGGACAGAUUGCAUGUGAAAAGAAAAGUUUUUAAUUAUUUGAGAUUUCAUGGCCCUGUUUAGUAUGAAAGUGUUAGUAAAAGUCAGGUAGCACCUCGAACCCCGUCCCGGCGUCGGAUGCGGACGAGGGGUGUUACAUUUAGUGGUAUCAGAGCAUGGUUUAGUCAGUUUUCGAACUAACCUAGCGUAAAAGAGUCUAGCUAUACAUGCCAUAGUGUUACUCGUGAUAGUGUGAUAUCUCUCGGCCCUAACAAAACUGUUGAUUAAGACAAGAAUGAGUUCCAACCGAGCAAAUCUUGAUAGAGAUAAGAAUAAAGUUGAGAUUAUUGAAUCAUGCUUAUGAUAUGCUGAAAAUUGGGAAAGGUAUGAAAAGAAAUCCAUGAUUUUUUUUAUAUGAACUAGUUUUUAUUAUGUGAUACUCUUGAGAUAAAGAAUGUGAAAUAGUGGAGUAAAACACAGUUAAGUUGUGAAAAAACGCUUUUAUGCAUGUUAGUAUCCAUACGAUGUUAAAUGUCCAACUUGAUUUGGCCAAGUGUUUAGGAAAAGAAAGAAAUUUGCUUGAAAUGACAGAAUGUAUGUAUGAAUGCUUUUAUUGCAUGAUUAAUAAUCAGUAUAUACAUGAGGUUGACAUUUAUGUCUAGAUUGAUGAAGUCAAGAUGCAGUAAUGUUAUGCUGUAUAAUCUCAGUUACAGAAUCAUAAAUGUCACAAUAGCAUAAAAGUUGUAAUGAAAGAUCAAAUUGGGUGGAACGCAGGGAAUGAGUACGAUCGUUCACUAAUGAAUUAAUGGAAAAUACCAUGGUUGGACCAUGGAAAUACAUGAGAUUUGUGUGCUAGUGUAAGACCAUAUAUGGGACAUGGCAUCGGCAUUGAGACGAGUGCUAGUGUAAGACAUGUCUGGGACAUGCAUCAGCCACAGUAUGAGAGCCAGUGUAAGACAUGUCUGGGAUAUGCAUUGGCCUCGAGAUGUUAGCCAAUGUCAGACAUGUCUGGGACAUGCGUCGGCUAUGAGAUGUGCUAGUGUAAGACAUGUAUGGGACAUGUGUCAGCACGGUUACAUGUGUCAGUGUAAGACCUGCCUGGGACACGGCAUCGACACAGAUGGAUGAGAGCUAGUACAAGACCAUAGUUGAACUAUGGCAUCAAGUAAGCGAUGUACUCAAAACCAUAAGACGUUCUCCAAUUUGAUAAAUAUUUGCAAGUGAUUAAGACUAAAUAUGGGAAUUUGAUAAAACAUUAAGGGUAAUUUGAGAAAAAAAAUGAAAGUUUGAGUUAUGAUAAAUUCACUUAUGUUUAGCUAAUAUUCGCACGAAAUAAAGUUGCAUGUAUUACUGAGAUAUGUGAAAAUGUGUUCAUAACAAGUUGGAAAUUUGAAAUGUUUGAAUCGAUGUGUGUAAUGCUAUGUUGUUGUUGAAUAUGUAUUUGCUUGAGAGUCAAAAGUUUAGAGGCUUUACAAUCUUCGCCCCCUUACCAGAAUAGAGUUAUACGAUGAGAUUUUCGAGAGAUAUGUUGCAUAAGCUUGCAAAAGUGAAACUGAAGAGUACAAUAAUGGAAUAGUAUGAGAUUAGUGAAGACAAAAUUAGUUAGAGGAAUAAUGUCAGACUUGCACAGAUGUCUGAAUAUGACGGAUUCAAUUAAAUAAAGUGGUGGCUAUCUUUCUCUUCUGAGUAUUCUAUGUUUUCCUCUAUUCUGGGGAAUACGUAUGGUUAUCCCUUUCGAAUGGAAAUUCUAUCGUAUGAGGAUGCUAGUGACUGUGAUAUUAGAUGAAAAGUUCUAUUGGUCCAGUUAGUUAUGAUCGACAUUUCCCCAUCUCUUCAGAUUUCUAUUCUGAUAUACUGGAAUGAAGUUGAUAGUAAAAAUCUAUAUGAGAUUAUUCUGAUGUUCUAUUGAUUAUGGUUUAUAUAUAUUGGAGAAUUAUAUUAUCUCUGUUACGAGAAAUUCUAGAGCGUACAGACAAUAGUUUCCUUCUGGUUUUCUCUGAGGGAUUUUCCGGAUCAUAUUUAUUAUUUUCUUCUGGAUUAUAUUCUCGGAUUUCUGGUGUAGUCUUUAUAUCUUGGAAUUUCUUAUAUUGGCUUUUCUCUCGUUCUUGUUUCGAGAAUUAUCAAGCUUGGCUUAUCUUUACGAGUAAUCUUUGACUUGCGAUAUUAGAAUCUGUUAUGAUUAAGCUUCUGGCUCGACCAUAGAAGUGUGGGGAUUUCAGUGUCGAGAUUUCUUUAUAAUUCCUGGGGUAAAGAAUGGUUAUUCUGCAAAAGUAAAUCUGAGUUAUGUGCAUUUAAGUUUAUUCUCUGGUUCGAGAAUACCGUUACGUGUUCUUUGGUAAGUAGUCGUAUAGUCAGAAAUGAUGGGGUUUUAUUCUUGAAAGUAUGUUAUGGAAACAUAUUAGUUGGAUUUCUCUUGUUCGAGAGAUGUUAUAAGUAUAGUUAUCCUGAUUAAUAAAAAGACCACAUCUAUGAAGUUGGAAUCAUUUGAUUCAUGUUAGUAAAGUUUCUAAACAGUUGAUGAUCAGAGUAUAGAAAUGUGGCUAUAAGUGGUAAAUUAAACAAGUACAACAUGAUUCGACUUUUAAUUUGGAAUUGCAGGGAGGAUUUGAUUUCUGGUUUUUAUUACUAUUAAUUCAGAGUAAGAUUUCAGUACUGAGAAACUUUGGGUAUACAGAGAAUUGAGUACAGAGUUCACAGCAGUAUCUUGUCUAUUCGUUCAAAGGAUGUCGAAUUAUCUAUAGGGUAAAGCCGAAUAUCAAAUGUAUUCGAGAUUAUUAUUGUCAGUGAUGACAGUGGGAAGAAAAUGAGAAAGGACUGUUAUGAAUUUCGUAUCGGGAUGUCUCUCAUUUCCAGGAAAAAGAAGAGAUGCAAGUUGAAUUGUGAAAGAUUGAUGAUGGAAGUCUGCAUGAUUAUUUUAGUAUGUACAGAUAUAUUAUUCAACAGAUGUGACUGAGUUGUAUGUUUCUGAGUUUAUAGUUCCAAGAAUGUCAGUCUCCAGUGUUUCAAAUUGAGCUCCGAGGUUUAUACCUUAACUAUGGAAAAGCUAUAGGAAAUCUUGAGUAAGAGCUUGUGCGGAGUUGUUUUGUAAGUUGCGAGAAAAAGAUAUAAGUGACUCGUGAAAGUAGAGAACAACUUUUUCUGGUAAGAUUUUCGGGGACGAAAAUCCCUAAAGGGGGGAAGAAAUGUAACAGCCCGAUUUUAGGCCUAGUCAGAACAGUGGUUUCGGGCACUAUUUUGAGGCCAGAGAAAAUUAUUUUAGUAUUAUUUUAUGUGUUAUAAUAUGAUUUUAUAAGUGCAUGUUAAUUUUGGUAUAUUAAUUUUAGCGAUUUCUAGUCCAAUUUCAAAAAAGGACUAAAUCGCGUAAAAAGUAAAAGUUGUGUUUUAAUACUUAAAGGUGUUAAAUUGCCUUGUACCUUAAAUUGGGGGUCUUUAAAGUGAAAUUAGGCCAUUGAAAGUGUGAUGGCCGGCCAUGGGAGACAAAAUAGUUGAAAAGUCAAAAUUAGACAAAAUAGUUUUAUUAUUAACAAAUAAAAAAAAAGAAAAAGAAAAAGCUAUCAUUUUUCUCUUCCCCUUCACCGAAAUAUGCAGCAAAGAAAGGAUUUUGAAGCUGGAAAAUUUCUGCAACAUAUUUCCCUUGCUUGUAAGGGAUUUUAAUGUCUUUGCUUGAUGAUUUUUGUAUUUUUGGAACCCCUAAAGCAUAAGCUUUCAUAAGAGGGGAUUAUUUUGCAAAAUGAUGAAGAGUCUAGGGUUUUACCAUGAGAGUAAAUAUGUUGUUUGCUGUGUUUUUAUGGAAUAUUAUGAGUCCUAGUUGUCUAAUAAACAACUUUUGUGAAAGAAAUUGCAUGAAAAUACCUUAAAAAUGGCUAAAUUGCUAAGUUGUAAAUGUGUAAAAUAGUUGAAAUUAUGAGUUGCUAUAGUUAUGAAAAUGGUUCACCUAGACUCAAGGAGUAAAGAAAUGUGAUAAAAAAUUAAUUUACGAGUAUUGGGGCAAAAGUGCAAAUAUGCAAAAGUUUAGGGGUCAAAAUGAAAAUUUGUAAAAAUAUGAUUUUUAGACCCAUAUGAAUAUUGUGACUGAUUGGUAGGCUAAAUGUGAUGUUAUAGAUGAUGAAAAUUGAGACUUGGACCUAGAACAGAAAGAAAUUGAUUUAUGGACGAGUAUGUCCUUUUCACCUUUGUGGUAUCGAGGUAAGUUCGUAUGUAAACAAUACUAUGCUAUACAUGUAUUUAAAUGUUAUUUUUACAUGAAUUGUACAGAUAUUAAUGUGUAUGUGAUUAAUAGAAAUAUGAUAAGACAAAGCCUUAAUAGACGAGGAAAAAUCCUGUUUGAACCUUAGGAAUAUAAUAGGAUACGAGUGACAUGUCAC